AGAGUUUGAUCCUGGCUCAGAUUGAACGCUGGCGGCGUGCCUAACACAUGCAAGUCGAGCGGUAACAGGUGUAGCAACACAUGCUGACGAGCGGCGAACGGGUGAGUAAUGCUUUGGAAUCUUCCCAGUAGUGGGGAAUAACCAGUCGAAAGAUUGGCUAAUACCGCAUACGUCGGAGACGAGAAAGCGGGGGAUCGUAAGACCUCGCGCUAUUGGAUGAGCCAAAGUCGGAUUAGCUUGUUGGUGGGGUAAUGGCCUACCAAGGCGACAAUCCGUAGCUGGUCUGAGAGGACGACCAGCCACACCGGAACUGAGACACGGUCCGGACUCCUACGGGAGGCAGCAGUGGGGAAUAUUGGACAAUGGGGGAAACCCUGAUCCAGCGACGCCGCGUGUGUGAAGAAGGCCUGCGGGUUGUAAAGCACUUUUAGUGGGGACAAAAAGCUACGGAUUAAUACUCUGUGGUCUUGAUUUAACCCAAAGAAAAAGCACCGGCUAACUCUGUGCCAGCAGCCGCGGUAAUACAGAGGGUGCGAGCGUUAAUCGGAAUUACUGGGCGUAAAGCGCGCGUAGACGGUUUUGUAAGUCAGAUGUGAAAUCCCUGGGCUCAACCUGGGAACUGCAUUUGAUACUGCAUGGCUAGAGUAUCGAAGAGGGAAGUGGAAUUUCCGGUGUAGCGGUGAAAUGCGUAGAUAUCGGAAGGGAACACCAGUGGCGAAAG
rnacentral:rRNA from 1 species